UACCCUUAUCAUAAUCACCAGGCCGGGACACAGCCAUAAACAGAUGCCAGAUUAUUACAACGGCCAGUGUCUGGUGUUUUUGCACAUUUACUGCUUGGAUGCUGUGGUUUUAUCUUUAUCAACAGCAAGAUUAAACAAACCUUAUCUUAAGUUCAGACGGGGUUCUUGAGCAGUGUACCUACAUUACACUAUAUUAUAGGCAUUUAGCAGAUGCCCUUAUCCAGAGCAAUUUGCACAACUUUUUACAAAGCAUUUACAUUGUAUCCAUUUAUACCGUAGGAUAUAUACUGAAGCAACGCAGGUUAAAUACCUUGCUCACAGGUACAAUGGCAGUGUCCUACCUGGGAAUGGAACCUGUGACCUUAAGGUUCCUUACUCAUUAUACUACACUGCUGCCCCACUGCUGUGUACCUGUCUGAUAAUCUAGAUACUCUGUAGUCUGUAUGCGAGUGUAAUCUAGAUACUCUGUAGUCUGAGCGCGAGUGUAAUAUCAUACUCUGUAGUCUGUAUGUGAGUGUAAUCUGAUACUCUGUAGUCUGAGUGCAAGUGUAAUAUGAUACUCUGUAGUCUGUAUGAGUGUAAUCUGAUACUCUGUAGUCUGUAUGUGACUGUAAUCUUGAUACUCUGUAGUUUGUGAGUGUAAUCUGGAUACUCUGAAGCUUGUGAGUGUAAUCUGGAUACUCUGUAGCCUGUAUGUGAGUGUAAUCUCAUACUCUGUAGCCUGUAUGUGAGUGUAAUCUCAUACUCUGUAGCCUGUAUAUGAGUGUAAUCUGGAUACUCUGUAGCCUGUAUGUAAGUGUAAAUGUCACUUAAAAACUGAGAAACAAGAUGAGUCAACUCAAAGUUUCCUUUGUGUCUUUCUCACAUCAUAGAGCACUGAGAGCACUGGAUACACCACAUCCUGUCAUGCUUUGCAAUGUGCAAGAACGGCCCUUAGUUGCCAUGGUAUCAAUCAGUUCCUCUCCUGACGUCAGCCUGGUUGGACGUAUAGCGGUGCGGUAUUUCCCAGAAUGCAACAAGUUUGUCUCAAGAAGCAAGUGAAGAAAUUAUGGACAAUACAUACAAGACACGUCAAAAUGAAAGGGCACAAUAAACUGAUGAUGAGGGCACUGUAUCUGCUCCUGCCAUUUCCUCUUCUCCUCGCCAUUCCUGUUUCUGCUUCCCACAAUGCAACGGCAGAGCCCCACAAUGUGAGCGCAACCGUGACUGUGCAGGGUGUCACAGCUGGUGGGGUGACAGACCAGCUGAAUGCUCCGAUCACGGAAACAGAGGACUAUUCAGCCGCACAAGCACUAGCCUUGCUGGACAGGGAAACGACCAAUGCAAUAGAGCACAGAGAUGAAGGUUUUGAAAGAGAUUUCAACAGCCAUAACACAACAUCAGGAAACUCUUACAUUACGGCGAAUGUAAUAAGUGGGCAGGCAACCCGGGAAGACGGCGCCUGGUACACAACUCCACCAAAUCUCAGGACUGAAGAAUCACAAAACGAUAUGACUGGGAAGACUGUAUCACACAACACAUACAAAAUGGAGUGGCCAACCAAAAGCACCUCGACCACUGAUCCUUUUCCCAGCAACACAGAGUUACACAACAACAGUGCUGUCAGAGACGGUGAUUUAAAUAAUACAGCCAUAUGGGCCGAUGAUGCGAAUACCUCAACGAUGCCUCCGCACACUGAGACAGAUUUCAACAGCACCGUUACACGCACGUACAGAGACUCAUACCCAGCUGUGCAUGAGGAGCAUGUAACAGACGAAUAUCCGACUGUGGACAAGGAGAAUGUAACAGACUCAUAUGCAACUGUGGACAAGGAGAAUGCAACAGACUCAUAUGCAACAGUGCAUGAAGAGAAUGUAACAGACUCAUAUCCAACUGUGCAUGAAGAGAAUGUAACAGACUCAUAUCCAACUGUGCAUGAAGAGAAUGUAACAGACUCAUAUCCAAAUGUGGACAAGGAGAAUGCAACAGACUCAUAUGCAACUGUGCAUGAAGAGAAUGUAACAGACUCAUAUCCAACUGUGCAUGAAGAGAAUGUAACAGACUCAUAUCCAACUGUGCAUGAAGAGAAUGUAACAGACUCAUAUCCAAUUGUGGACAAGGAGAAUGUAACAGACUCAUAUCCAACUGUGCAGGAGGGGAAUGUAACAGACUCAUACCCAGCUGUGCAGGAGGGGAAUGUAACAGACUCAUAUCCAACUGUGCAGGAGGGGAAUGUAACAGACUCAUACCCAGCUGUGCAGGAGGGGAAUGUAACAGACUCAUACCCAGCUGUGCAGGAGGAGAAUGUAACAGACUCAUAUCCAACUGUGCAGGAGGAGAAUGUAACAGACUCAUAUCCAACUGUGCAGGAGGGGAAUGUAACAGACUCAUACCCAGCUGUGCAGGAAGAGAAUGUAACAGACUUGUGUACAAACAAGAACAAGACAACCCAAGACAAACCAUCGUUCCCCUCUGCACACCGCAAACUGAUCUGCUUCAUCACUUUGUGGGUUCUGGGAGUGACCGCAACAGUCUUCCUAUGGGUCACCGUGUUCCUGGGGAUUCGACUCUCAAUCCAGAGGAAGAGGAAGAGGGGCGGCGUGGACGAAGAGGAGACGAGAGGAGCGGAGCAACGGGGGAUGAGCCUCUGGUUUCGGCCCACAGGGACGGCGGAGGAAAGGGCGGAGUUUUGGUACGCCAACGGGUCCUGCGCCCGUCCGGGAGGCACGGGACCAAACACGCAGAGAGAGAGAAGGACCGGAGAGGGAGACGAAACGAGAAGGAAGGAGAGCGAGACCGAGGACCUCUGGGUCCAGCCCAAAGUGACGCUGGCAGAAAUAACUGAGUUUUGGUACGCGCACGGGAAAGUCAAACAGGACGAGGACAGUGAGCAACUAUGAGAGAGAGACAGGACGAGCCGCAAUAGUUCUGUUUGGAUUUAGGAACUACCGUCAGUUUUUUAUAUAUGAAAAGUUGUGUAAAAGUUGUGUAAGUCGCUCUGGAUAAGAUUGUCUGCUAAAUGCCUGUAAUGUAAAUGUAAAUGUUAUAUAGAUAAUCUUUGUACAGAACUAGUCUCCAACUAUUUGAUUUCCUUUUUUUAAUUAACAAAAGAAAUGCUGACCAAAAACCAUGAGGUUAUAUGAGUGGUUUACAAACAAAAGAUAAAAAAAAUAUUUAAAAAUA